rnacentral:misc_RNA from 1 species
CAAUAAGAGUGUUUAUGGCACUCUUUCAAAAAAUCCAUACCCACCUUGUGUGCAAUGUAAAAAAAAAAAGGAGUUUUCUUGUGGUUUGGGAGUGAGAGUUGUUUUACAACGCUCAUUUUUUUUUUUUUCCUCAAGAGACACUUUUUUUUUCAUUUCAUAUACACCUUUCUAUAAGUUUCCUAUUGUCUGAAGUACUUGGAAUAAAUAUAAUUCUAAAAUA